rnacentral:lncRNA from 1 species
GUUGCAGUCCCCCUGAAACUUGAUAAGAUCAAAGUACUUAUGGAGGCAUUUCUUGAAAAGUUAUGGCUAUGGCUAUUGACUUACAUGGAGCUUACUGGGAUCAAAUUGAAUAAAAACCAAAACAGUUAUGUAGAGAGAUAUAUAACCCAAAACACCACCAACCUGGAUUAGAAGAGACUAUAACUAUUCAAAUCAUAAAAUAACCCUUUGAGUCCCCACUUUUCUAUGGCUGUGACGUAGUCUGAAAUGGCUUCUCAGCCACAAAUGGCAUAUUUUCCAAUAAUCCUUCGGAAGAGGCCAAGGAGGAUAAAGGAAAAAGAGCUACCCAGAAGGUGCAAUCAAACAGCAUGGAGAACGAUGGACAGUAAAGUGACUCCCAGGAAAUGUAACUGGAACAAAACAAGGAGCAUUCCUUACCGUCAGAGUGUGGAGGUUGCAACUUUUGCUCAGCAGAAUAUCAGAAUCGCUAGGAACCAGUGACACGUAUCUACCUCCCGUUCUUUCUAUUUUUUUAAUAAGGUGUCCCUGCUCCACCAUUGUAUUAUAUUGAGUGUUUAGGAAGAAGAAGACAGACAACUUGUCAUUUUCGUUCGUAGGUCUCUAAAUCGAGAAGAGUAGUAAGCAGACAUGAUGUGUAGCGCCAGAUUCUGGACUUCUGAGCCUAGCGUCUGGUAGUUUUGAGUAUCUUGGGAGAAGUAAAAGUAUCUUGUGGGCAGAAGAGCAAAUUGGAGAAGACUCCAUUCUUUGUUCACAGUUAUUUGUCCUCUCCCUUCCACUGCCAAUCUUCUCGGUAGGUGGAGUAUACAUACUCACCCCACUGGCUUUGGACUUGACUAUGUGACUUGCUUUGGCAAAUGGAACAAGAAUGGAUGGAAUGUUUGUCAUGACUGAACAGAUUAUUUCAGAAGCAUUGCAAGUUUCCACUGGCCCUUUUGCUGUCCCAGAGAUCAGCUUCAACUUGGUUUUCAGAAUGAGAAGACAUGUAGAGCCCAGCACAGGCCAGCAGAGCUGCAGCUGACCCUCAGCCCUAAGAAACAUGACCAGCAGAGCUGAGUGAUGAAUUAUGGUUAUUCCUUCCAUCCAAGGAGCAAGAUGGAGGCGAGCGACUACGCAUGGUGAACAGUGGUACAGCUGUCGGUCUCCGCUGGGCAAGGAGAAGAAGUCUGAAAGAGCUCACUCCUAUGCAUGACUUUAUCAGGGGAACUUCCAAAAGACUUACGAGGAUCUAUCUCCUGCCUCACAGGAAGAUUAGCCCUGAGCUAACUGCUGCCAAACCUCCUCUUUCUGCUGUGGAAGACUGGCCGUGAGCCUACAUCUGUGUCCAUCUUCCUCUACUUUAUUUGUGGGACACCUGCCACAGCAUGGCCUGUCAAGCGGUGCCACGUCUGCAACCGGGGUCGAACCGGUGAACCCCGGGCUGCCGAAGCAGAACGUCUGCACUUAACCGCUGCACCACCAGGCUGGCCCCACCUUCUUUUUUUUUGAAGUACAGUUCACAUACAAUAUUAGUUUCGGGUGUACGACAUAGUGAUUCGACAUUUAUAUACAUUGUGAAAUGAUCACCAUGACCAUCUGUCACCAUACAACAUUAUUACGAUAUCAUUGAUUAUAUUCCCUAUGCUGUACAUUACAUCCCCAUGACUUAUUUAUUUUAUAACUAGAAGUUUGUAUCUCUUAAUCCCUUUCACUUAUUUUGCCCAUCCCCCUACCCCCUUCUCUCUGACAACCACCAGUUUGUUUCCCGUAUCUAUGAAUUUGCUUCUGUUUUGUUUUGUUUGUUCAUUUGUUUUGUUUUUUAGAUUUCACAUAUAAAUGAAAUCAUAUGGUA